rnacentral:rRNA from 1 species
CCCUGACCUACAGCUAAGGUCCCCAAGUUAUGGCUAAGUGGGAAAGGAUGUGAGGAUCCCAAAACAACCAGGAUGUUGGCUUAGAAGCAGCCAUCAUUUAAAGAAAGCGUAACAGCUCACUGGUCUAAAUAAGGGUCUUUGCGCCGAAAAUGUAACGGGGCUAAAGCCAUACACCGAAGCUUAGGGUUCAUCCGUAAGGAUGAGCGGUAGCGGAGCGUUCUGUAAGCUGAUGAAGCCAUACCUGCGAGGGGUGGUGGAGGUAUCAGAAGUGCGAAUGCUGACAUGAGUAACGUAAGGGGAGUGAGAGACUCCCCCGCCGAAAGACCAAGGGUUCCUGCUUAAAGCUAAUCUGAGCAGGGUUAGCCGGACCCUAAGACGAGGCAGAAAUGCGUAGUCGAUGGGAAUCACGUUAAUAUUCGUGAGCCUGAAGGUAGUGACGGAUCAUCAAUGUUGUUCAACCUUAUUGGAUUGGUUGGGCUGCUGCGUGGUUCCAGGAAAUAGCUCCUUCUUAUAGUCCGUACCCGAAACCGACACUGGUGGUCUGGUAGAGUAUACCAAGGCGCUUGAGAGAACUAUGCUGAAGGAACUCGGCAAAUUGCACGCGUAACUUCGGAAGAAGCGUGACCCAUAUGCACGCAAGUGUAUGUGGGUGGCACAGACCAGGGGGUAGCGACUGUUUAUCAAAAACACAGGGCUCUGCGAAGUCGCAAGACGACGUAUAGGGUCUGACGCCUGCCCGGUGCUGGAAGGUUAAAGGGAGAGGUGCAAGCUUUGAACUGAAGCCCCAGUAAACGGCGGCCGUAACAAUAACGGUCCUAAGGUAGCGAAAUUCCUUGUCGGGUAAGUUCCGACCUGCACGAAUGGCGUAACGACUUCCCCGCUGUCUCCAGCAUAGACUCAGUGAAAUUGAAUUCCCCGUGAAGAUGCGGGGUUCCUGCGGUUAGACGGAAAGACCCCGUGCACCUUUACUAUAGCUUUACAUUGGCAUUCGUAGUGGCAUGUGUAGGAUAGGUGGUAGGCUCUGAAGCAGGGACGCCAGUUUCUGUGGAGCCACCCUUGAAAUACCACCCUUAUCUCUAUGGAUGUCUAACCGCGGCCCCUUACCGGGGUCCGGGACAAUGUAUGGUGGGUAGUUUGACUGGGGCGGUCGCCUCCUAAAGAGUAACGGAGGCGCGCGAUGGUGGGCUCAGAACGGUCGGAAAUCGUUCGCUGAGUGCAAUGGCAUAAGCCUGCCUGACUGCGAGACUGACAAGUCGAGCAGAGACGAAAGUCGGUCAUAGUGAUCCGGUGGUCCCGCGUGGAAGGGCCAUCGCUCAACG